rnacentral:tRNA from 1 species
GGGUCGUUAGCUCAGUUGGUAGAGCAGUUGGCUUUUAAGCAAUUGGUCGUAGGUUCGAAUCCCACACGACCCACCA